AUUGAACGCUGGCGGCAGGCCCAACACAUGCAAGUCGGACGGUAGCACAGAGGAGCUUGCUCCUCGGGUGACGAGUGGCGGACGGGUGAGUAAUGUCUGGGGAUCUGCCCGAUAGAGGGGGAUAACCACUGGAAACGGUGGCUAAUACCGCAUAACGUCGCAAGACCAAAGAGGGGGACCUUCGGGCCUCCCACUAUCGGAUGAACCCAGAUGGGAUUAGCUAGUAGGCGGGGUAACGGCCCACCUAGGCGACGAGCCCUAGCUGGGCUGAGAGGAUGACCAGCCAAACUGGAACUGAGACACGGUCCAGACUCCUACGGGAGGCAGCAGUGGGGAAUAUUGCACAAUGGGCGCAAGCCUGAUGCAGCCAUGCCGCGUGUAUGAAGAAGGCCUUCGGGUUGUAAAGUACUUUCAGCGGGGAGGAAGGCGAUGUGGUUAAUAACCGCAUUGAUUGACGUUACCCGCAGAAGAAGCACCGGCUAACUCCGUGCCAGCCGCCGCAGUAA
rnacentral:rRNA from 1 species